CACAUGCAAGUCGAGGGGUAGCACAAGGCAGCAAUGCUGAGGUGACGACCGGCGCACGGGUGAGUAACGCGUAUCCAACCUUCCGUUUACUCUUGAAUAACCUUCUGAAGGGGAGACUAAUACAAGAUAGUAUCUUAAGUUCACAUGUUCCUAAGAUUAAAGAUUUAUUGGUAAACGAUGGGGAUGCGUUCCAUUAGAUAGUAGGCGGGGUAACGGCCCACCUAGUCUUCGAUGGAUAGGGGUUCUGAGAGGAAGGUCCCCCACAUUGGAACUGAGACACGGUCCAAACUCCUACGGGAGGCAGCAGUGAGGAAUAUUGGUCAAUGGGCGAUAGCCUGAACCAGCCAAGUAGCGUGAAGGAUGAAGGUUCUAUGGAUUGUAAACUUCUUUUACAGGGGAAUAAAGUGAGCUACGUGUAGCUUUUUGUAUGUACCCUAUGAAUAAGGACCGGCUAACUCCGUGCCAGCAGCCGCGGUAAUACGGAGGGUCCUAGCGUUAUCCGGAUUUAUUGGGUUUAAAGGGAGCGUAGAUGGGUUGUUAAGUCAGUUGUGAAAGUUUGCGGCUCAACCGUAAGAUUGCAAUUGAUACUGGCAGUCUUGAGUAUAGUUGAGGUAAGUGGAAUUCGUGGUGUAGCGGUGAAAUGCUUAGA
rnacentral:rRNA from 1 species